AAGAAACCCUAACUCUAGGCCCACGAACUUCUAUUAAUACAUCAUCCCUAACAUGAGAAGUAACAACUGAUAACAUACCAAAAAUAUCUAAAUUUACGGAACUUCUCACAUUAUGUGAGCUUACUCUCUCCGGCCAAAAACACCAUCGAACAAAGUUUUUCUCUACCAUGAGCAAACUUUAAACCACCAAAAAUCACUAAGAUCUCUGGCCACCAGUGGGCUCGUGUGUGGCCUAGUGGUGAAGACUUGAAUCUUAAGAGUGUACUCCUUUCAAUGUCUCAUGUUCAAAUCAUACUAGAUACAAAUUGCUUAUAAAAAAAUCUCGGACCACCCCUAUCAACAUAGGAGACCAC
rnacentral:lncRNA from 1 species